UUUUAUUUAAUUUAAAAAAAAUAUUUACUUGUCAAGUAAAAAAUCUUAAUUUAAGAAUAGUUA
rnacentral:tRNA from 1 species